AGCAGCCGCGGUAAUUCCAGCUCCAAUAGCGUAUAUUAAAGUUGUUGCAGUUAAAAAGCUCGUAGUUGAAUUUCGGGACCAAUAUGUCUGUCGUGCCUUCGGUACGUACGGGUAUAAUUGGUUUCUACCUUCUGAUGAACCUUGAUGCCAUUAAUUUGGUGUCUUGGGGACUCAGGACUGUUACCUUGAAAAAAUUAGAGUGUUUAAAGCAGGCAUAUGCUUGAAUACAUUAGCAUGGAAUAAUGAAAUAGGACGUUCGAUUCUAUUUUGUUGGUUUCUAGGAUCGACGUAAUGAUUAAUAGGGAUAGUUGGGGGCAUUAGUAUUCAAUUGUCAGAGGUGAAAUCCUUGGAUUUAUUGAAGACUAACUACUGCGAAAGCAUUUGCCAAGGAUGUUUUCAUUAAUCAAGAACGAAAGUUAGGGAUCGAAGACGAUCAGAUACCGUCGUAGUCUUAACCAUAAACUAUGCCGACUAGGGAUCGGAUGAUGUUAAUUUUUAAUGACUCAUUCGGCGCCUUAAC
rnacentral:rRNA from 1 species